CUGGUGUCAGUGACAGUGAUGACACAGCAGACUACAAGAGCGCAAAGGCCUCAGUCAGACCAUCUGAUGCGUCUGACAAUGAACUGGAAGAACCACUGUUCACCAUUGGUCACUUUUCUCCUAAGAAGGAGGAGAUGAGUCCAGAAGACUUGCGUCUAGUACGCAGAUCUGAAAGAGCCACAAAGGGCAGACCUCCAAAGAGAUUUGCUGAUGAGUUUGCUAAGACAGCAACUGCUGUUCUUAGUAGCUCAGAGAAGGUGUGGGAACCUUCAAGCUUCAAAGAGGUUCAGGAGUUAACCUCUAAAGAUGCUGAGCCUUGGCUUAAUGCCAUGAAGGCUGAAGUUGAUUCCUUGAAUAGGAACCAAACUUGGGAACUGGUACCGGUAGUCCCAGGAAUGAGACUGGUUGGCAGCAAAUGGGUCUUCAAGGCCAAGACAGACCAGAAUGGCAAGGUUGUCAGACACAAAGCCAGAUUGGUUGCCAGAGGUUUUUCACAGGUACCAGGACAGGAUUACCACGAGACCUACUCACCCACCGUCAAAUAUGAGAGCAUUCGGCUGAUGCUCAAGAUAGCUGCAGAGGAGAAACUGCAUGUUUCCCAUCAUGACAUUAAUACAGCUUUUUUGUACGGGAUUUUGGGGGAGGAGCUGUUUAUGCUUCCACCUGAUGGGAUGCAGAUACAGAAGGGAAUGGUCUGUAAACUGCGGAAAUCCUUAUAUGGUCUCAAGCAGAGUGCCAGGUGUUGGAACACAAAACUCACUGAGACAUUGCUUUCUCUAGGUUUUCACCAGGGCAAAGCUGAUCCAUGUGUGUUUGUCAAGGAGGAGGGGCAAAACAAACUGUAUUGUUUAUGUUUUGUUGAUGAUCUUCUGAUGUUUUGGAAGAAUCAGGCUUUCUACCAAAGCACCCUAGCUCAGCUGAAGGAGCACUUUGACAUGAAGGAUCUUGGUGAGGUAUCCAACUAUCUUUCUCUGCAGGUGGAGAGGGACCAAGCAGGUAAUUUUCUGGUACACCAAACACAGAAAAUUGCUGAUGUAUUAACCAGGUUGAAUUUGGUUGAUGCAAACCCAGCAGACACACCGAUGGUGACAGGUUACCAGGUAGAUAGUACUGCUGAAGCGUUUUCUGACACAACGCUGUACAGAUGCAUUCUAGGCAAGUUGAAUUUCAUUGCUAGAUGCUCAAGACCUGACAUAGCUGUAAGCUGUAACCUGCUUAGCAGACAUGCCAACAAUCCUACUGUUCAGGAUUGGAAAGCUCUGAAGCGCAUAGCCCGCUAUUUGAAAGGGACUAUGCACUACAGGCUGAGGUUCACCAGUCAGAAGACUGGAGGUCUUGAAAUCUUUGCAGAUGCAAGUUUUGGAAGUGACACCACGGAUGGUACAAGCACUUCUGGAGUAUGCUACAUGUACAACCACUGCCUGUUUGACUGGUUGUGCAAAAGCAGACGACAGUGAGCCUAAGUUCCUGUGAAGCAGAACUCAAUGCUCUGUCAUUUUCACUCAUGGAUUGUGAAUGGUUGAUGCAACUGUUUAAGGACAUCAGAGUUUCUGUGAAAUGUCCUGUACAAGUGUAUCAAGACAAUAGAUCGUGUUUGGCUUUGCUGAACUCGGAGAGUUGCAAGCAAAGGACCAAGUACUUGCAGAUUAAGCUACAUCGUGCAAGGGAGUGUAUUCAGAAAGGACUCAUUCAGGUGUCCUACAUGCCAGGAAAUGAAAUUCCUGCUGAUCUGUUGUCUAAGGUUGUUAACAGAGAACAACUUAAGGUUUACGUACAAAGGUUGCAAUUGGGUUGAACCACAGGUACUACAGGUUACACGGAAAGGGGAGGAUGUUAGGAUAUUUCCGUUCCACCUUAAAAGGGAGCAGGCUUUGUGAGUCAGAGUCUGCGUAUUUCCUGUUCACAGGAUGUUUAUGUUUUCUGUUGCUUUCGUUUUCUCUCUGGUGUCGCAGACACUAAAGCAGGCAGUCAUGUUUUUCUGUGUUCUGAUCAACGCUGAAUAAACUUGUAAAUAAUGC
rnacentral:lncRNA from 1 species